UACAGAGGGUGCAAGCGUUGUUCGGAAUUAUUGGGCGUAAAGCGCGUGUAGGCGGCUUUGCAAGUCGGGUGUGAAAGCCCUCAGCUCAACUGAGGAAGUGCGCCCGAAACUGCAGAGCUUGAGUACCGGAGAGGAUGGCGGAAUUCCCGAAGUAGAGGUGAAAUUCGUAGAUAUCGGGAGGAACACCGGUGGCGAAGGCGGCCAUCUGGACGGAUACUGACGCUGAGGUGCGAAAGCGUGGGGAGCAAACAGG
rnacentral:rRNA from 1 species